GACGAACGCUGGCGGCGUGCUUAACACAUGCAAGUCGAACGGAAAGGCCCUGCUUGCAGGGUACUCGAGUGGCGAACGGGUGAGUAACACGUGGGUGAUCUGCCCUGCACUUCGGGAUAAGCCUGGGAAACUGGGUCUAAUACCGGAUAGGAGCCAUUUUUAGUGUGAUGGUUGGAAAGUUUUUUCGGUGUAGGAUGAGCUCGCGGCCUAUCAGCUUGUUGGUGGGGUAAUGGCCUACCAAGGCGGCGACGGGUAGCCGGCCUGAGAGGGUGGACGGCCACAUUGGGACUGAGAUACGGCCCAGACUCCUACGGGAGGCAGCAGUGGGGAAUAUUGCACAAUGGGCUCAAGCCUGAUGCAGCGACGCCGCGUGGGGGAUGACGGCCUUCGGGUUGUAAACUCCUUUCGCUAGGGACGAAGCUUUUUGUGACGGUACCUAGAUAAGAAGCACCGGCUAACUACGUG
rnacentral:rRNA from 1 species